UUGUUGGGUAGGGGAGCGUUCUGUAAGCCGUUGAAGGUGACCUGUGAGGGUUGCUGGAGGUAUCAGAAGUGCGAAUGCUGACAUAAGUAACGAUAAUGCGGGUGAAAAACCCGCACGCCGGAAGACCAAGGGUUCCUGUCCAACGUUAAUCGGGGCAGGGUGAGUCGACCCCUAAGGCGAGGCUGAAAAGCGUAGUCGAUGGGAAACAGGUUAAUAUUCCUGUACUUGGUGUUACUGCGAAGGGGGGACGGAGAAGGCUAGGCUGGCCGGGCGACGGUUGUCCCGGUUUAAGCGUGUAGGGGGAGUGACCAGGUAAAUCCGGUUGCUUAUCAACCCUGAGGCGUGAUGACGAUGCACCACGGUGCAGAAGCAGUUGAUGCCAUGCUUCCAGGAAAAGCCUCUAAGCAUCAGGUAACAUUAAAUCGUACCCCAAACCGACACAGGUGGUCAGGUAGAGAAUACUCAGGCGCUUGAGAGAACUCGGGUGAAGGAACUAGGCAAAAUGGUGCCGUAACUUCGGGAGAAGGCACGCUGGCGUUAGGUGAAAGGACUAGCUCCUGGAGCUGAAGCCAGUCGCAGAUACCAGCUGGCUGCAACUGUUUAAUAAAAACACAGCACUGUGCAAACACGAAAGUGGACGUAUACAGUGUGACGCCUGCCCGGUGCUGGAAGGUUAAUUGAUGGGGUCAGCCGCAAGGCGAAGCUCUUGAUCGAAGCCCCAGUAAACGGCGGCCGUAACUAUAACGGUCCUAAGGUAGCGAAAUUCCUUGUCGGGUAAGUUCCGACCUGCACGAAUGGCGUAAUGAUGGCCAGGCUGUCUCCACCCGAGACUCAGUGAAAUUGAACUCGCUGUGAAGAUGCAGUGUACCCGCGGCAAGACGGAAAGACCCCGUGAACCUUUACUAUAGCUUGACACUGAACAUUGAGCCUUGAUGUGUAGGAUAGGUGGGAGGCCUUGAAGUGUGGACGCCAGUCUGCAUGGAGCCAACCUUGAAAUACCACCCUUUAAUGUUUGAUGUUCUAACUCGGCCCCAUGAUCUGGGGUGAGGACAGUGUCUGGUGGGUAGUUUGACUGGGGCGGUCUCCUCCCAAAGAGUAACGGAGGAGCACGAAGGUUAGCUAAUCACGGUCGGACAUCGUGAGGUUAGUGCAAAGGCAUAAGCUAGCUUGACUGCGAGAGUGACGGCUCGAGCAGGUACGAAAGUAGGUCUUAGUGAUCCGGUGGUUCUGAAUGGAAGGGCCAUCGCUCAACGGAUAAAAGGUACUCCGGGGAUAACAGGCUGAUACCGCCCAAGAGUUCAUAUCGACGGCGGUGUUUGGCACCUCGAUGUCGGCUCAUCACAUCCUGGGGCUGAAGUAGGUCCCAAGGGUAUGGCUGUUCGCCAUUUAAAGUGGUACGCGAGCUGGGUUUAGAACGUCGUGAGACAGUUCGGUCCCUAUCUGCCGUGGGCGUUGGAAGAUUGAGAGGGGCUGCUCCUAGUACGAGAGGACCGGAGUGGACGAAUCACUGGUGUUCGGGUUGUCAUGCCAAUGGCAUUGCCCGGUAGCUAAAUUCGGAAGAGAUAACCGCUGAAAGCAUCUAAGCGGGAAACUUGCCUCGAGAUGAGUCUUCCCUGGGGCUUAAAGCCCCCUGAAGGAACGUUAAAGACUAUGACGUUGAUAGGCUGGGUGUGUAAGUGCAGCGAUGUAUUGAGCUAACCAGUACUAAUGAUCCGUGAGGCUUAACC
rnacentral:rRNA from 8 species